rnacentral:tRNA from 1 species
UAAUAAGAAGCAAAUCACUAUGCGUUUAGUUUCGACCUAAAAAUACGAUAAUUUAUAUCCUUAUUUU